rnacentral:rRNA from 1 species
CUUUGAUGAAGUUUUCGGAUGGAUUUAAAACAGCUUAGUGGCGGACGGGUGAGUAACGCGUGGGUAACCUGCCUCACACUGGGGGAUAACAGUUAGAAAUAGCUGCUAAUACCGCAUAAGCGCACAGUUCCGCAUGGAACGGUGUGAAAAACUCCGGUGGUAUGAGAUGGACCCGCGUCUGAUUAGCUAGUUGGUAAGGUAACGGCUUACCAAGGCGACGAUCAGUAGCCGACCUGAGAGGGUGACCGGCCACAUUGGGACUGAGACACGGCCCAAACUCC